rnacentral:rRNA from 1 species
GAUGAACGCUGGCGGCGUGCCUAAUACAUGCAAGUCGAGCGGACGGACGCUAAUCGCGCUUCUCUGAUGUUAGCAGCGGACGGGUGAGUAAUACGUGGAUUACCUACCUAUAAGACUUGGAUAACGUCGAGAGACCGGAGCUAAUACCGGAUAAUAUUUUGAACCGCAUGGUUCAAAAGUUAAAGACGUUCUUGCUGUCACUUAUAGCUGUAUCCGCGCUGCAUUAGCUAGUUGGUAAGGUAACGGCUUACCAAGGCAACGAUGCAUAGCCGACCUGGGAGGGUGUAGGGGCACACUGGAAGUGAGACACGAUCCAGAGUCCGACGGGAGGCAGAGGUAGGGAAGCUUCGGAGAAGGGCGGAAGCCUGACGGAGGAACGCCGCGUGGGUGAUGAAGCUCUGCGGAUCGUAAAACUCCGUUAUUGGGGAAGAACAUAUGUGUAAGUAACGGUGCACAUCGUGACGGUACCUAAUUAGAAAGCCACGGCUAACUACGUG